ensembl:lncRNA
CGACCACACCAGAGUCCCUCAUGUCAAACUGCUUUAUUACAUCUUAAAUAACAGUACAGUUGAAUAUAGGGUCUAUCUUGCAUCCAGCCUCCUUGCAGUACACUGACUUUAAAAUUAAAUACAAAAGGUGAAAAGGGUGAAGGUGCAGAGAGCUCUACAGUCAUCUGAUGGGAAGAGAAGGGGAUUUGUUGUGUUCUUGUUGCCAGACCCAGGCCUACUGCACGGUCACAGCACGAAUCCAACAGCAACAGCUCGCAACAGGACUGUUUUUUUGUUUUUUGAAAGAAGUAAAGAAAACUGUGACUCAUCCCGCUACUCAAGCGUGUAGAGCACUUGCUGCUUCCGAUAUGUG